UAGGGAAUCUUCCGCAAUGGACGCAAGUCUGACGGAGCAACGCCGCGUGAGUGAAGAAGGAUUUCGGUUCGUAAAACUCUGUUGUUAGAGAAGAACAGCGCAUAGAGUAACUGUUAUGCGUGUGACGGUAUCUAACCAGAAAGCCACGGCUAACUACGUGCCAGCAGCCGCGGUAAUACGUAGGUGGCAAGCGUUGUCCGGAUUUAUUGGGCGUAAAGCGAGCGCAGGCGGUCAAGUAAGUCUGAUGUGAAAGCCCACGGCUCAACCGGGGAGGGUCAUUGGUAACUGGUUGAAUUGAGUGCAGAAGAGGAGUAUGGAAUUCCAUGUGUAACAGUGAAAUGCGUAGAUAUAUGGAGGAACACCAGUGGCGAAGGCGACUCUCUGGUCUGUAACUGACGCUGAGGCUCGAAAGCGUGGGUAGCAAACAGG
rnacentral:rRNA from 1 species